UACGGGAGGUAGCAGUCGGGAAUAUUGCGCAAUGGAGGAAACUCUGACGCAGUGACGCCGCGUGCAGGAAGAAGGUUUUCGGAUUGUAAACUGCUUUAGACAGGGAAGAAAAAGACAGUACCUGUAGAAUAAGCUCCGGCUAACUACGUGCCAGCAGCCGCGGUAAU
rnacentral:rRNA from 1 species